GACGAACGCUGGCGGCGUGUUUAACACAUGCAGUCGAACGAGAAUCUGUGGAAAGAGGAUUCGUCCAAUUGAAGCAGAGGACAGUGGCGGACGGGUGAGUAAACGCGUGAGGAACCUGCCUUUCAGAGGGGGACGAACAGUUGGAAACGACUGCUAAUACCGCAUAACGCGUAGAGAUCGCAUGGUCUUUACGCCAAAGAUUUAUCGCUGAAAGAUGGCCUCGCGUCUGAUUAGCUAGUUGGUGAGGUAACGGCCCACCAAGGCGACGAUCAGUAGCCGGACUGAGAGGUUGAACGGCCACAUUGGGACUGAGAUACGGCCCAGACUCCUACGGGAGGCAGCAGUGGGGGAAUAUUGGGGCAAUGGGCGCAAGCCUGACCCAGCAACGCCGCGUGAAGGAAGAAGGCUUUCGGGUUGCAAACUUCUUUUGUCAGGGACGAGUAGAAGACGGUACCUGACGAAUAAGCCACGGCUAACUAACGUGCCAGCAGCCGCAGUAAU
rnacentral:rRNA from 1 species